GACGAAGGAUGCAAGCGUUAUCCGGAUUCAUUGGGUUUAAAGGGAGCGUAGGUGGCCUGAUAAGUCAGUGGUGAAAUCUCUGGGCUCAACCCAGAAAUUGCCAUUGAUACUGUCAGGCUUGAGUAUAGUUGCCGUUGGCGGAAUAUGACAUGUAGUGGUGAAAUACAUAGAGAUGUCAUAGAACACCGAUUGCGAAGGCAGCUAACGAAACUAUAACUGACACUGAGGCUCGAAAGUGCGGGGAUCAAACAG
rnacentral:rRNA from 1 species